CCCAGGAAUGCUGCAGCCCCCUGGAAAUGAGGAGACUGGCCUGGAAAGCACCAGUAGGAAAUUCAGCAAAGGAUUUGACAGGCAGAGGAUUUACAUAACAUCAGCUGAUGCCUGUGAUUACGUAAAGACCCGACAUGUUUUAGUUUGUGAAUCUGUGUUUUAUCAAGAUGCAGAUUUUAGGGCUCUGCAGGGGCAAUAUCCGCAAAGAAUUCAGUAAAAGAAAGUGUGUUUGCCAUAAACACUCCUUUUUUUUUGGUUCAGAUGUGGCUUGUGGAGAUUCCCAUGCACGGCAACAAGUCAAUGGAAAGUCAGUUUGCUUGAUUUAAGUAUUGCUGUGCUCUCCUGGGAACAUAUUUAUGGCUAUUUCUGUCAGUGAACUUCCUCUGCCAAUUUAAUUCAGCCAAGCAGAAGAAGCAAAGGAACAGGAGAGCAAAGCAAGUUGGAUUCAAGGAUUGAAACCCGAGGCUGAGGUUCCUCCCUGCAGCUCACAGAAUUGCUGGCAGAAAAUUAAACAGGUAAGAGGUGGGGCUUUUGGGGUUGUGGAGGAGCUCCCAGAACAUCACAAGGACUUGUGUAUAAAAGCAUUUAAAAUAGUAAUAUUCUCCCCUUCUAGGAGUUUUGUUUUUUGGGUAAUUUUGUGUUAGAGAUGGAGUCGAACAGAGCAGUGAUGGGUCUCUAAACCUUUCACUGCUUGAGCCUCAAAUAUGGACACACAAAUCUCUCAGUUGUGGGUUUGUUGGUUUGUUUGGUUGGUUUUAAAAUUUUUUUUAAACCACCUGAAUUCUCCAAGAACCUCAGUCCUCCCAAGCCCUUUGGAAUCCAGGCCCUCUGUAGGUCUGUCCCACCUUUUGCUGUGGAAUGAGCCCAGUCCCGUGUGCCAGAGCCCCAUUUCAGUGCUUUAUCCCUUUGAGCAGCAUCACUACCAACUGACAGAGGUGGAGUCUCUUCACAGAGCAUUUCUGACACAUCCCCAGAGCCAGCCAUGCACAGCAGUAGGUGCUGGAGAUACCUCAGCUCUGCCUGGUUGUGUUAAAUAUGCACAACAGAGUGGAUUUCCAUCCCCUGCACAGGGGAGAUAAGCGACAGUGACCUGGGCAGCUCUGGGAAUUGUAUCCCAGUGAGCAACUCGGGGAGCAGUUGUUGGGUUUGUAUUUAUUCUGCAGUCAAAUUAUCCUCACUCUUCAAUCACUGCUGGAGACAGGCAUGAGAAAGCCCUCUGUACCAGCAAAUUUGUUUGAAGACAGGACUCUGACACACUCUGGGGACUUGUGUAAGGAUGGGACCCUUAAAAAAAAAUCCAGAGAGAGGAAAAUCAAGGCAGCAGCAACACUGCAGUGAGACACAGAGAGCAACAGAAGAUCUGUAGGAAAUAACAGCAAAGAACCAGAAAAACACCUGGAUUUUUGAUACAGGAUGAUAGUUGUGGUUCUCUUGUGCAGUUGCUGCAUUCUCUGCAGAGAGCAUUGAGCAGUGGGUGGACAGCUUUAACCCAGAACUACUAAUCUGGAUUAAUCAACAAGGUUUUCACUGCUCUAGGACAGAUCACCAGCCUGCUUGACUAUGGGUUUGAUUUCUUUUACCAGUGAGCAAGGCUCCAGUGCCCAGGAGACACUGUGAGCACCCGUGUUCAACUCCCAGGGCUCUGCAAACGCUGCCAAAACUUCUUGCAAGAAAACCACAACCACCAACCUGAACAGGAGCUGCUUUUAGUGCUGCAGAAUCUCUGUGCUUAGAUUACUGCUGGAAAUGGAACCUGUAAGGCUUUAUAGACUGGCCACAGCUUUGCACAGCAACUACGCAGAGAGGGGAAGGACAAAAGUGGGGAGGGAACUGGCACAGGUUGCCCAGAGAAGCUGUGGAUGCCCCAAGGCCAGGCUGGACGGGGCUUGGAGCCACCUGGGCUAGUGAGAGGUGACAGAGCAAGGGAACAAAGGCAGGUGAGAGCAGCCCUUACCUCGAGGAUGGAGGUCUGGACAUGCAGGACCUGCUCGUGGCCCUUGAGCUGCCUGACACAGACCUUGCAGCUGAGCUGGGUGGUGCCGGGGCUGUAGCGCUCCAGGGAGAAGGCACAGAGCAGGGGCCGGGCACUGCCCCGCCACACCCGCGAGAACGGCACCUCCUGCGGGGACAGGCACAGGCACAGGGCUCAGGGACACGGGACACAGAGCAGAGACAGCCAGGGCCCCUCCCUGCUGCUCUGCUGGACACCCCUUCCAGCCCCCAGCAGCACAAAGCCCACCCGCGACGGUUCCACCGAUAAACACCUUCCCUGAAGGCUGGGGUUUCAUCCAGUGAAACAAAUGAUGGGAGACUCAUCUAAAACUUGAAAAUAUUGCACUUCACCUCCUCCUUACCGAGAUCAGAACCCUGACUCUUCUCUGUGUCUCCCUGCCAUUUCCCUGUACCGCAGAAUCCAAAAAAAAGGAGCUUCCCAUCAAGACCUGCCCUGGCUCUGUCAGCCUCCCCUUCUCCACCUGAACCACCCCAACUGUGCCUUUCUCCAGCCCCAGCUGGAUCCUGGGCUGGGAGCAGUAGCAAGAUACUGACAAUGAUAAAGAAAACAUUAGCAAAACAAGUUACAAGUGGAGCAACCAUAAUUAGAUUUUUUUUCAGGGUAAUCAUCUCUGCUUUCAUCCCGAGUGGAAGAAUCACUCAGCUGAAAAGAAUCACACGAAACAAUACAGAGGGACAACGUGUGGUGAAGGAUGAGUGGUUCAAGUAUUCCAGCAAUGCUUUCAGUUUCAUUCUGCCUUUAUAAUUAAGUUCCCAGCAGAGACAGGGAAUGUAAAUCAUCUCCCGGCUCCAGACAGAGCCCGGGUCCUCCGAGGGACAGGAGAUGGGGGGAACACAGCUGCUUUCAGCCCCCAGAGCUGCCUGCCUGGUUUCUCAGCACACUGCUCACUGCCCCUGCCUGCUCCAGCACCCACCCAGUUCCCGAGGGUUCCCCCAGUUCCUCGGGAGCGGGGUGGGAAGGGAGCCAAGAGCUCGGCAGCUGCUCCUGCAGCAGGGCCAGGACAAACAAACAGUUUGGAGUCCGGAGGAAUCCUGGCACCACCUGCCAUCCACUGCUCUGCAGCCAGUUCUACAGCAGGAUUUAUCCACCCCCCCGAGCUGAGGGAUCACUGACACACCUCUCUCCUCAUCCCAUCCCGGGAUGGUGGCACUGGUGGAGCACAGUUCUGGCCCCUCUGCUCCUCCCAGGCAGCACAGGCAGCUGCCUGCACAGGGUGGGAUGUGGGAGAGAAGCCAGGGAGCUCUGCAAGGAGCUCCACGGGCACAAACAGAGCCUUUCAUCUCUCAAGAGCCUGGAACCAAACCAGAGCUGUCACCAGACACCUCACUGAGGGGGAAACACAAAGCCAGUGCAGGUUCUGCAGUUCCUCUUGGAGACAAUUAUUGUGUUCCUGAGCUGGCCAAGUCAUGCCAACUACACUCAGUUAUAAAAUGGGAAUAUUCCUCUGGUUCAGUAAGAGCCACUGUGGCAGCAGAGGUUUUGCACAGGCUUUUAUUUAACCCCAAGUCCCUGCUCUGAUCAGACUCUAAACAGCACUUUGAGGCUGAAUUCCAGUCUGUCACACACAUUUAUUCUUCAGGCCUGGACAAGGAUCAAGAGGCAAUAAAUUAAUCAAAGUGUGGAGCUGUGUUCCAUCCAUGAGGCAGAACUCAAUUGGUUGUAUUUAGAGAAAACUCCCAUGAUUUUCACUGCUUGGGCACGUCCUACUCCUGGUGGGCAUUUGCUGUAGUAGUGGGGCAUCCUAACACUGAGUGGCUUGGCUUUUAAAAUGCAGUUCAGUGAGUAGAACAAACAAAACACUUAAAAGCUGUUCUUCAUAGGAAGCUGAAAAUGAUUUGGUUUCCCUCACUUUUUAAGUUGAAGCAUAAAUUAUCCCUAUAUUCCUAAUGAGGUAAGACUUCAUCUGGCUGUGGAUCUGUGUUUAUAAGUUUCAGAGCCCAUUACACUCAUGUUUUGGAGAACAUGGCAACACAUUUAAAACAGUUUUUUUGCCAAAAUACUGAAUGAUAGAUAAUUGUCUCUCUGCUUCUGGGAAAAGGGAGAUUAUAUAGUCUAAUUGAGUUCUGUAUUUUAAGACCAGCCCACUCCAUGUGCCAGCACAUCACUUCUGAUUCCCAGUAACCCACAUCCUUAGAAAUCCUUCCUUUGUUUUGAUUUUCCCUUUCCGCUUUUCAACAGCCUCUUUAAUUAAUGGAGUGCAGAAAAAAUAAUUUGCAGCUCUUCAGUUCUAAUUCUUGGUAUCUGCACGCUGUGCUUUCAACUCAUGAUUAACAUUUAAAUGUCAUUUGCAGCCACGUGUUCGCAGUUGUAUCACAACUGGAAUAACAGGUAUCAGGAACAUCUUCAGGAGUGAUAAGCUUUAACAAGGGGAUUGGCCUUCUGACUCAUUUUUGUUGCAUGCCCAAGAGAUUUAAACCAAAACAGAAGGUACCACUGCCUUAUCUGGGUUCUGCCCACCCCAGUGCAAACCUGAAGAGGUAAAAUUGCCAAGUACCUGACAGGCAGUAAAUGGUUUAAUUCUCCAAAGGAAGGGAGGGAUAUCAAGGACUGAGAUCUGGAGGCUGCAGGUAUUUCCUUUAAAAUGCAGAAGUUUUGGUUCCUCCAGCAAUUGUCCUCCUUGGAGCCUUUCAUCUGAAACCACCUCCUGCAGGGGCAGAGGAGAGAAUUGUGUCAGCAUUAGGAAUAACCCCCAAAUUCACCUGCACAGAGGUGUCUGGGUCACCCACAGCACACCAGGAGUGUUCCCCUCGUGGGCCAGGGGAUGGGACUGGUGUUCAUACACCCCCAUCCCAGUUCAAGGCACUCAAAGGCACAGGGCCAUCCCAAGGCAGUGCCUGCAGCUGGAGCCAAGAGCAGCUGGGCUGGGAAACCUCUCCCAGGGCUUUCAGAGCACUCAAACACCCCCCCACCAGGAGAACACACCAGGUCAAACAAUUCAGCCUCAGCUCUCCUCUCUGGGGCCUCUUCAAAGGCACUGGACAAGACCCUGAGCAGUCUGAAGGGCAGACUUGGAGCAGGAGUUUGUGUUACAGUCCUCCAGAGGUCUGUUCCCAGCUACAUUUUUAUGUAAUUCUGUGAAUUUAAAGCAUAAUAGUAAAAAAAAAAAAUAAAAAAAAAUCACCCCUGCCUGUGCUUAAGCAAUGUUUACUCCUGUGCUGAGACAGUAAAAACACCAGUGAGGAAGGAAAGGUUGCACAAGGCUUUAUAAAAAUCAGCUGGCAAGCAGUCUCUCCAAAUUACCUUCUUUUUAUCCACAUAAAUUAUAUCAAAUCAAAUCCAUCGAAGGGGUUCAGUGCUUGUCAGUACCAAAGGUAUUGUCAGAAGGGCUCCUGGAAUCAUUGUGACCUUCUGAAAAUUCAAUGCCUGCUCGAGCUCUCUGCAACUGUACUAAUGGAUUCCUGUUAGAGAGCAAUUUUUACAGGAGUUCAGCUCCUUUUAACUCCUGAUGGUCGGGUUUAUAUGAAGGAGAGAAUUAGAAGGGAGGCUUAAUUUUUGAUUUCCAGCCACGAGGGGAGUGGAUUAUUUCAUGACUGCUUUCAAAACUCCUUGAAGGUGCUGGAUUUCCUUUUUAAUGUGCUGUGGUUCUGUAAAUCCUGCUCAAAAUCCAAAGGGGUUGGGAGAGUUUCCCAAGUCAGAGCUGCCCAGAGGGCAAAGGCAGCUGCUGCAAAAGCAAGGUGGGUUUUCACAGGGGGGCAAAGGCAAAAAUGAAGGGACUUGGUACCUCAUCCAGGACUGCACUGCAAAGGUUUCACUGUCAGACAGAACUUGGUGACCCCAACUCCAGUUCCUCACCCAAAGCUCUCAGUUUCUCCAUGUUCACACUAAUAUUUACAUGCUUUUAAGGGCUGUAUCAUUCUGUAAAUAUACACAGCUGUCUCACUAUCUACAAACACCCUGCUCUUGUUCCUCUGCAGGCAGAAAACUGGUAAUUAUUCUUCUAAUAAUUUUCUACAGACUCAUCAGGAAGAUACUGGUACCCACUAAUUGUGUAAGUGUUGUAAAGAGUAUAAUUACAAAGCCAUUGUAAGACUUUAACAAUCCUUCUGGUGGCUCUGCUUUUAUUAGAAGCACACAGACACCAGUGAGAGCCGUGUUUCCACUCUGAGACAGGCAAGGGAAGGAAACAUUCAUGUCACAACUGUCUUCAGUUCAGCUCCCUGAAGAAAACCAUUUUGUUAAAGCUUCUGAGUUUACUAAGGCUGCAAAAGCCAGUGAAUGUCACUGCUUUGUCCUGGAACACCAUUAAAAAAAUCCUGCUCCUUUCAAUUGCCUCCUGGGGAUUGGUCCUUUUUUUUUUUUCCUUUUUUUUUU